GACGAACGCUGGCGGCGUGCUUAACACAUGCAAGUCGAACGAUGAAGCCUUUCGGGGUGGAUUAGUGGCGAACGGGUGAGUAACACGUGGGCAAUCUGCCCUGUACUUUGGGAUAAGCCUUGGAAACGGGGUCUAAUACCGGAUAUCACUUACCUCCGCAUGGGGUUUGUUGAAAGUUCUGGCGGUACAGGAUGAGCCCGCCGGCCUAUCAGCUUGUUGGUGGGGUAGUGGCCUACCAAGGCGACGACGGGUAGCCGGCCUGAGA
rnacentral:rRNA from 1 species